GGCUGCCUGGCCCAAUGGUCAAGGCGCCUGCCUACGAUCCCCGGGUCCGCCUGGUUGUGAGCAGGAGAUUCCAGGUUCGAGUCCUGGGGUGGUCG
rfam:Puccinia triticina 1-1 BBBD Race 1 supercont2.84, whole genome shotgun sequence.